ensembl:lncRNA
GUGAGAGCUUUGAGUCGACUUCUCAGAAGCCUCCCGAAGAAGAGCUAGCGCCGCGAGGUGACUCGGUCUGGUAGGGAAAUGGCAAGUGGAGGAGCUGGUUGAAGUGCUCGUCGGUCGGGCAUUCAAAGCCCUCCAAAUCUGGCCCCACUUUAGCUAUCCAAUCACAGCCGCCUCCAUCCCCCCCGCAAGAACUCCCAGCUCCAAUCAGGGAAGUCUCCAUGCCAUCCUCAGCGCGCAGCAGACUCAUUCUUCCUUGGUGCCUUUGCCCAGGCUGUUCCCCACCCCCUUGCCAGGGGUGCCCUCCCUGCUUUAUAUUCCCAAUUCAGCCCAGGCUGUGAGACGCAGCUCAAGUCGUAGCUUGUCAGGGUCCCUGGCAGCCAAGGCCCCUCCUGUUUCUCAAAGAAACACAUGUAAUACAACAACAUGGAGGCUCAAGCUUCAGCCAAGAGCUCUUCCUUUGCAGCCAUCUAUACCCACCCUAGCCAGAGACUGCCCACCGCUCGCCCUCUUCCCCAUUCGUACUUAGAGAGCUUUGCUGGCCGAGAGCCAGCCUGCCCCCAACAAGUCCGUCUUCCUCUAAGAGUAGGAUUGGCUUUUCUAGGUGGGGCUGGUCAGAAAGGCCAAGUGCCUGGGUGUAGAAGACAACAGCCAAAGCCUCUGGCACCAAAUGGAACAGCUGCACAGCUCUCACUGACCUUUUUCUGGGCCUGUGGCUGUAAAGAGCCUUCCAGCUCUUAACUUUUCCGACCGUGUUUCUAUCAGACUUCUACCUGUCCGAUUUUCUGGCCACUUUCCUGGGUGGACUUUGAGCUAGGAGGCUCUGCCACCUUUCAGAUUUCUAGUGGGUGGGGAAUCUGAUUGGCUUGGGUUGCGUGGUCUUUUGAGUGUUGUUCCUUGCUUUGGCUUGAAACUCUCUUGCUUUUGUCCAUGUGACCUCAGGCCCGGUUCACAGACUCCAUGCCCAGACUCACCCUGAAUGUUUGUACCUGGUGGGGUGGGGGGAGGACACUUGUGUGCAAAACACAGUUUCUUCACGAGAAUCCAGUCUGUUCCAAACCAGUGCAUGGACUGCAUCGCACAAGUGAGCCCCCUUUUUCACAACCUGAGGACACAGUGGCUUUAGGCUAAGGUUUCUUAAAGGUGUAACUUUUAAAUUCAGUCUCCUAUGAAGACUAUUGUCAGUCUACCUUAUAAAACAGUGCUCUGUUACUAUGAUUGUUGUGUCAAAAGAUGAUGGGUCCUAAAAUUGGCUUAAUCACUACUAAUAAAUAUGACCAUGAUAAUGAGAAAGGGCUACUUGUCAGUAAAACUAGUAGCUGAAAGAUACAGGAAAAGGCCUCCUUCAGAAACCAUUAGACAUCAGUAACCAGUGGAGCAGAGAAUAAGCGGGAGCUGUGAGAAGACAAGCUGGAAGGGCCUAUAGAAGGUGAGGAACUGAAAUACAGAGCUCUGGAGGCACACAGUCCACAAAACAAAACAAAAGGAUUCAUAUUUAAACCUAAAUAGAGGACCAGCAAGAUGGCUCAAUGGAUAAAGGCACUUGCUGCCAAACUACACAACAGAAGUUGGAUCCUCAGACUCACACGGAAUGGAAGGAGAGAACCUACUUCCUCAGGUCACCCUUUGACUUACAUUCCUGUACCAUGGUACACAUGUAUUGUACAAGUGUCUAUUCAGAAGAGUUAUAUAUCCAGGUAUGGAUAUAUUAUAAAAAUAUAUGAAU